UACGUAGGGCGCGAGCGUUGUCCGGAAUCAUUGGGCGUAAAGAGCUCGUAGGCGGCCUGUCGCGUCUGCUGUGAAAAUCCCCGGGGGCUUAACCCCCGGGCGUGAGUGGAUACGGGGCUGGCUGGAGGCAGGCAGGGGAGAACGGAAUUCCCGGUGUAGCGGUGAAAAUGCGCAGAUAUCGGGAGGAACACCGGUGGCGA
rnacentral:rRNA from 1 species